AAUCAACGCUGGCGGCGUGCCUAACACAUGCAAGUCGAACGAGAAAAUCUGGGUGUAGCAAUACAUCUGGGUGAGUAAAGUGGCGAACGGGUGAGUAACACGUAGCUAACCUGCCCUUGAGCGGGGGAUAACCUGGGGAAACUCGGGCUAAUACCGGCAUAACAUUCCGACUUCACAAGGAGACGGAAUCAAAGGCCCGUAAGGGUCGCUCGAGGAGGGGGCUGCGGCCGAUUAGCUAGUUGGCGGGGUAAUGGCCCACCAAGGCGAUGAUCGGUAG
rnacentral:rRNA from 1 species